UCCCUGGUGGUCCAAUGAUUAAGACUCUGCACUCUCAAUGCAGUGGGCCUGGGUUCAAUCCCCGGUCAAGGAA